CCCUUAGAUGUUCUGGGCGGCCCGCGCACUACAUUGGCACUCUCAAUAAGUUCCUAGAUCUAAAACUUUGGGGUAUUCUAUUAAGUGGUGUCGUGACUGGGAUUAACCCUUGCAAUUAUUGGUUACGAACGAGGAAUUCCUUGUAAUCGCGGUUUAUCAGCCCGCGUUGAAUGCGUCCCUGCCCUUUGUACACACCGCCCGUCGCUCCUACCGAUGAAUCGUCCGGUGAAGUUCAUGGAGUGGUGGUUGUUACAGCUGCUGUCGAAGUGAAAUGGACCUCACGAUUUAGAGGAAGGAGAAGUCGUAACA
rnacentral:rRNA from 1 species